UGUUCGCUAUUAUUUUCACCACGCCGCAAGUAUACGGUGUAGUUGCAACAUAGGGAAGCAAGGUCGUAUUCCACAAGGAUUGGUGAAUUCAAACUUCUAAAUACUAUUAAUAGUUGUUUUCAAUCUAUUUAGACAACCAAAGGUGAAGAGAUAUUGAAGGUUAAAUCAAAGUUAAAUUAAAGCAAGCAAACUAAAUAACAAUAAUAUAAACUUAAUUAAUAAAUUGGGGAAUGACUCGAAGGAAAGUU
rnacentral:lncRNA from 1 species